rnacentral:lncRNA from 1 species
CCGGGUCUGACAAUUCCUGGUCCAGAAAGACUCUGUCUAGCAAUGGCGUGUCGACGCGUGGCCCAGUAUGGAUUCAGAUCACGUGGUAUGGAAGGACUCUUUCACUGUUCUCCGGCAGAGGCUUUAGCAUUCUGGGGUAGCAGGGUGUGUCCCCCCCGACAGGGGCCCAGUGAUGGAGAGUGGCUGGCCAGAUGCUGUUUCAUGCUAGAUUAGCCCUCCUGUGGUCAAUUUGCUUUUCCUAAUGUCAGCUCCCCUCUGCUGUCGCCUAGCAACCGCUGCUGCAGCCAAGAGGCCCAGCCAUGCAUGCAGAAUUCCACCUGCCAUUUGUAAAGGAGGGUGUGUGUGUGUGUUUGUGUGCGUGUAUGUAAAACGGGGUGCAGUUCAUGUGUGAAUUGGAUCCAAAUGCCUUCCAGAUUCAGGGAUACUGAGAUUACUAAGUUGGAGACUCAUGCCAGUGGAUGGUGGUACUGAUGAUGGUGGACCGCCUGGUCUGAGACUGAAGACUGAAGCGAAUGAAGCAGACCUAUGCCGUCUGUCUCCUAAUAAACAGGCACCAGAUCCUGUGUCCCGGCCAGAGAGGAGCCCUGCCACCCAAACUGCCAUCUCUCUCGCCCCUAGAGCCUAGCAGGGAGGCGAACGGCCACACGCCGUCUGACAGAAAGACAGAGAGAGCAAAGCCAGCGGGCCAUAUGUGUCUGGUUGUGAGAGGAACUCAAACCCCAGACUGUCCAACUCAGAAAUGCUGCAGCUGCCCAGCUCUUCUUCAUGGCAGAAUUAAUGAAGCGCUCGGCGUGGAGCAGGGUGAAAAAGUCACAACUAAAGUAAGACAAGAUUUCUUCAAGAAGACUGAUGUGUCUGGACUCUUCCUCUCAUGUGAGUGUAGAUUUAAAUGA